rnacentral:rRNA from 1 species
UGCCAGCCGCCGCGGUAAUACGAAGGGUGCUAGCGUUGUUCGGAUUUAUUGGGUUUAAAGGGUGCGUAGGUGGUUUUUUAAGUCAGUGGUGAAAGCCUACAGCUCAACUGUAGAGGUGCCAUUGAAACUGGGAAACUUGAGUAUGGACGAGGUAGGCGGAAUUUGUGGUGUAGCGGUGAAAUGCAUAGAUAUGACACAGAACGCCAAUUGCGAAGGCAGCUUACUAAGCUACGAUUGACGCUGAGGCACGAAAGCGUGGGGAGCGAACAGGAUUAGAUA